rnacentral:tRNA from 1 species
GGUUUGUGGCUCAGUGAUAGAGUGCUUGCCUAGCAUGUGUGGCAUACUGGGUUCGAUUCUCAGCACCA